rnacentral:lncRNA from 1 species
AAAUGAUGAAUGAUGGGAUGUUUAGAACCUUUUUGCAGUUCAUACAAAAUCAGACGAGGGAGACUCGUGUACAAAAUACGGAUGGAAAUGAUAUCAAUGCGCGGCUUGUCACAGCCAAGCAGUUCAAGGAGUUGGGACCACCAGAGUUUGCGGGAAAGCCGGAUCCGAUUAAGGCGGAAAUGUGGGUUAAGCAAAUUACCAAGAUAUUCGAUGUCUUGGGAUGCACGGAGGAACAGAAUGUUCCAUUCGCCACCUUUAUGUUUCGUG